rnacentral:rRNA from 1 species
GAUGAACGCUGGCGGCGUGCCUAACACAUGCAAGUUGAACGAAGCAUACCAUUUGGAGGCCUUCGGGCCAAAGAGAGGUAUGACUUAGUGGCGGACGGGUGAGUAACGCGUGGGCAACCUGCCCUGUACAGGGGGACAACAGCCGGAAACAGCUGCUAAUACCCCAUAAGCGCACAGUAACGCAUGUUACAGUGUGAAAAGCCGAGACGGUACAGGAUGGGCCUGCGUCUGAUUAGAUAGUUGGUGGGGCAGCGGCCUACCAAGUCAACGAUCAGUAGCCGGCCUGAGAGGGUGAACGGCCACAUUGGAACUGAGACACGGUCCAA